UGUUUCUCCUUCUCAGUUAAUUUGGUUAUUAGAGAGGCUGUAGCAGAUGUUAAACCUCUGAGAAGAGCGAUCUGAGGGGGCAGAGAGGUUUUUGUGGAGGAAUCUGAGUGCCCUUACCUGUGCGGUGUGGUUCUGGGAAGGUGAUGAGCUCAAACCUGGGCCUUGUAAAACUCAGGCCUCACUUAACUGCGAAGAUAAGAUCUGGUGGUUGUGCAUGAAGUUGGGCUGCUGGUCUCAGAGGAAUGUGGUGUGUGGAUCCAGCAGUAUGCAGGCAGGGCAGGGCUCCUGCCUGGGGCUGAUGGCUAUUCCCACGUGGGACAUCUUGAUUUGGUGUCAGGGGACCUGCAGCCGACUGAUGCUCUCAAGGUGCUGCUGCUCAGAAAUGAGUCCUUGUUCAUCCUCUUUGUCAAACUGCUGAAUUUGAUGUGGGGCGUAUGAAGCUUGUUUCUAGUACCUGGUUCAUUUUUAGCUCUGGUGAUGCUUCAAUAUUGCUGUCUCCUUUCUGAAAGUAGAGUUGGACCCCGAUAUCUAAUGAGUUAUCCUAGCAAUUUUUUUCAUAGAUGAGAUAAUUUCCUGUUUUCUAUUUGGAGUUUUUUUUCUAGCUCUCAACUCCAGACACUUUCAGCAUCUUUAUGCUAUAGCAUUCAACAUAGAUGGAGAUUAAACUCUUAAUCCUUCUAGUUCAACUGUUUUGAGACAGUUUUACAUUCUACAAAAGUAGUUGUGUUCCCUGACUUCUGUUGUAUGUGUAUUUAUGUUGCUUUAAAUAGACAGUAAUGGGCUGCUCUGAGUAAGCAUCUCGUCCUCUUCCAUCACUUUCUGUCACAAUAAUUAUUUGCAUUGUCUAUAGAUUUUAU